UCCCAUUUACAGAGCCACUGAUAAUUUCCUCCAGGUUGAAGCGCGUAGUGCAUCUGGUUUGGACUGGAGCUAUAACACUCCGUCUGUGGAUCCUGAGUAGACCAGACACUCGCUCCACUUCAGUGGGUGUGCAGGAGCAGAAAACUAGCAUCUCAGCAUUGCACAGUGACUUCCUCUUCAAAAAUACACAAAAGCACAGGCAUAUUGUGCGUAGACUGACUUGAGAUGAAAGGUUGCAGAUGACAAACCAGCACAUCAAAUAUAACAGCCAGCAAUAUGUCUCUCAGAGGAAAGACAAGAACAAACACAACAAAUUCAACCUCCUGCUGCCUCCGUCGCUUCACUGGUGGCGCACACCACCUCCUCCGACGUGGCUUUUUUUUUGUUGCAGCCGGGGUUGAAUGAAUUUUGAAGUUCUUAAAGUCGACUUAUAUGUGGUCGACUGGCCAGGCCGUGCUUGUAAAAGACAUUUUGAUGUCAAGCAAUAUGUUUGGCGAAAAAAAAAAAGAAAAAUGUGUUGAAAGUCAACGUCGAAAGUAAUGCCGUAGCCAACCAUAAAGACUGUGCUUGGGGAAAAAAUAAACAAAACA